CGCCUUUAGAAAUUAAUUAUUAAAGGUCCGACCUGCCCAGUGAAUUACUUCAACGGCCGCGGUAACCUGACCGUGCUAAGGUAGCGCAAUCACUUGCCUUUUAAUUGAUGGCUAGUAUGAAUGGUCAGACGAGCGCUAAAUUGUCUCUUUUAAGUCAAUAAAAAUUAACCAUUAAGUGCAGAUGCUUAAAUAAACUAGAAGGACAAAAAGACCCUACUAAGCUUCAUAUUAAAUAGUUUAUCAAACUAUAUAAUUAUUUUGUUGGGGCAACAAAGGAACACAAUAUCUUCCUUUAACACUAAUAGCUUACACGCAUAAACCAAUUUAAUUUAUAAAGAAAAAAGCUACUAUAGGGAUAACAGACUAAUUUCUCCCGAGAGCCCAUAUUGACGGAGAAGCUUAGCACCUCGAUGUUGGCUUAAGGAAACUUUAAGAGGCAGCACUCUUAUUAGUAGGUUUGUUCAACCUUUAAUCCCUUACG
rnacentral:rRNA from 1 species